rnacentral:rRNA from 1 species
AACGAACGCUGGCGGCAGGCUUAACACAUGCAAGUCAAGCGCCCCGCAAGGGGAGCGGCAGACGGGUGAGUAACGCGUGGGAAUCUACCCAUCUCUACGGAAUAACGCAUGGAAACGUGUGCUAAUACCGUAUACGUCCUUCGGGAGAAAGAUUUAUCGGAGUUGGAUGAGCCCGCGUUGGAUUAGCUAGUUUGUGGGGUAAAGGCCUACCAAGGCGACGAUCCAUAGCUGGUCUGAGAGGAUGAUCAGCCACACUGGGACUGAGACACGGCCCAGACUCCUACGGGAGGCAGCAGUGGGGAAUAUUGGACAAUGGGCGCAAGCCUGAUCCAGCCAUGCCGCGUGAGUGAUGAAGGCUCUAGGGUUGUAAAGCUCUUUCACCGGUGAAGAUAAUGACGGUAACCGGAGAAGAAGCCCCGGCUAACUUCGUGCCAGCAGCCGCCGUAACAC